ACAUAAUUAUAAUACACUUUAUUUGUAAAUUACAAUUAGAUCAAAUAAUCCUAUCUACGUUGACACAAAAGUUCCAUCAAAACUAAGCUCAGCCAUUCUCUGACAAAAAAAAUAGGAACAAAAAUCAAUAAUACAAUAUCUGUCACAAUUUUUGUACAAAAAAACCCCAAAAUAUCAAAAUUAUGAAAAUCACAAAAUGAUAUAUUUUGCAGAUAACAAAAUAUCAGGUCAUGUUUAAAAUGGUAAAAUACAUACAGUAUUAGUAAUUAAGAUAUCUAUAUUAAUUUUUAACUUAUACUCAGUAAAACUAUUAUCAAAACGUAAAACGGGAUUUUUACCAUAAUUUUUAUUUAGUUUAGUUUUUAAGUGACCAUCUUCACAUUUAAAACUGUUUUAAAACAAAUCCACAAGAUACUAUUGAGGAUUGAAAACAAUUAAAUUGAUUUAAAACCGAAUCUAAUAUUACAUUACUAAAAAAUAUGUGACUUUGUCCCUUUUAAAAAUAGCCACAAUCUUCCAAAUGUAGGUGGAAUUGUGGAAAAGGUGACUAGCUUUAAAAAUUAUCUGCUAAAUUGUCAUUCUGAGUUCACUCCAUAUGGUACUCCAUCCAUGGUACUAUUUAUUUUACAACACUGCUAAAAUAUUAAGAUUUUCCAAUUAUCUAGAAUUCUCCGAGAUCGAGAAAGAGGCCUUUGUCCAGAAGUGGGAUGUUACAAGCUGAAUUAAUGCACCAAUGUUCUACACAAAGUAACUAUCCCGUUUCAUCUUAAUAAUAAUUUACAUUUCAAUUAAAUGCACAUUUUUUUAUCUAAACAUAUCUUAAGGAGGACAUUGCCUAAAACUCGGCCCCUAUAUUUACAAAAAAGAAAACGAUUCGUCGAUAAAACUGUUGAAUUUUGAACACAACAUGUUCAAUAUUCAACCGUUCAUUAUCAAAAAGAAUCGUUUCUAACAUGAGAGACGGAUUUAACACAACGUAGUACAGAUAAUCAAUAUGCGAAACCUCUAUUUCAGACUGUUAUCAUAAACGUUUAGGGAACGAGCACACCAGUAAUAACAUCAAUAUUAUAAAACAAUUUUGAUACUUCCUAAAUAUUUCAUUAACAUAAAAUUUAAAUAGAAAUUAAUAUCAACA
rnacentral:misc_RNA from 1 species